UGGGAGAGAUGGAAUGAGAGUCAGAGACGAGACAUGGGGAGGAGAUACAGGUCAGGUUCAUCAGACUUUCACUGAUCUGAAGUGAAGCUUGAAAAUGAAGAACUGCAUCUCAUCAUCAUCAUCAUCUGCCUCCUCAAGACAACAGGAUUACUGAACACACAAACUCAGGAGCUUCCUUCUUCUGACGACUAAAAACCACAUAAAUGUUGCUCAGGUUCCUUUAAACUAACUGCUAACUCAUCCACUGAGACACUGAACAAACUACUCGUAUCCUUCCUGGUUUCUGCAGAUAAUGUAUGAUUGUGGAUGUCACACACUGCCUUAUCAAAAAUUAAACUGCAUGAUAUUUCAAGCUA